GACGUAGGGCGCGAGCGUUGUCCGGAUUUAUUGGGCGUAAAGAGCUCGUAGGCGGUGUGUCGCGUCGGCCGUGAAAACCUGCAGCUUAACUGUGGGCUUGCGGUCGAUACGGGCAUCACUGGAGUUCGGCAGGGGAGACUGGAAUUCCUGGUGUAGCGGUGAAAUGCGCAGAUAUCAGGAGGAACACCGAUGGCGAAGGCAGGUCUCUGGGCUGACACUGACGCUCAUGCACGAAAGCGUGGGGAGCAAACAGG
rnacentral:rRNA from 1 species